rnacentral:rRNA from 1 species
GACGAACGCUGGCGGCGUGCUUAACACAUGCAAGUCGAACGGAAAGGCCCUGCUUUUGUGGGGUGCUCGAGUGGCGAACGGGUGAGUAACACGUGAGUAACCUGCCCUUGACUUUGGGAUAACUUCAGGAAACUGGGGCUAAUACCGGAUAGGAGCUCCUGCUGCAUGGUGGGGGUUGGAAAGUUUCGGCGGUUGGGGAUGGACUCGCGGCUUAUCAGCUUGUUGGUGGGGUAGUGGCUUACCAAGGCUUUGACGGGUAGCCGGCCUGGGAGGGUGACCGGCCACAUUGGGACUGAGAUACGGCCCAGACUCCUACGGGAGGCAGCAGUGGGGAAUAUUGCACAAUGGGCGGAAGCCUGAUGCAGCAACGCCGCGUGCGGGAUGACGGCCUUCGGGUUGUAAACCGCUUUCGCCUGUGACGAAGCGUGAGUGACGGUAAUGGGUAAAGAAGCACCGGCUAACUAUGUG